rnacentral:rRNA from 1 species
UACGAAGGGGGCUAGCGUUGCUCGGAAUUACUGGGCGUAAAGCGCACGUAGGCGGCUUUCUAAGUCGGGGGUGAAAUCCUGGAGCUCAACUCCAGAACUGCCUUCGAUACUGGAGAGCUUGAGUCCGGGAGGAGGUGAGUGGAACUGGCGAGUGUAGAGGUGAAAUUCGGUAGAAUUAUUCGCAAGAACACCUAGUGGCGAAAGGCAGGCCAUG